CUCCUGACCUCGUGAUCCACCUGCCUCGGCCUCCCAAAGUGCUGGGAUUACAGGAAUGAGCCACCGUGCCCAGUUGAGUCCUGGCUCUUUUCCUGAGAAGCUGUGUGACCCUGUGCAACUCACCUAACCCUCUACGGACCUAAGUUUCCUUGUCUGCAAAAUGAAAAUGCUAUAAGGAAUCAAUGACCCCAAGCUGGAGGCCUGCAACCCUUGAGAGGCCUGUGACUUUUCAGAGUUUCCAAAACAUCAGCACAUAAGGUAGCAGCUACUAUCUAACAUGUAGUUGUUUCUGAUAUUACGCCAGCUCUUGCUCAGCAACCGUGGAUGGAAAUUAUGCCUAUGUUGAAGAACCACUAGAAAAGGUGAUCCCAAGAUGCUCUUCAGCUCUAGUUCAUGAGCAUAGAGAACUUCCAGAGGUGAAGAAGUGUGGCCCUAAGCUAAGCUGACCCCGCCUUCUUACCCAGUGCUCACAGUGUUCCACAGUGCAGGCAGCCUCACUAGUUGCAAGAACCCUCCUUUGUCUUUAUUUUUGUCUCCAAGUUACCUUUGAAAUUCUAAUAAUUACUUAAACCUCAAGAAGAAAAUAGAGGUCUCGAAUCCCUAUGUGUAAUCAUGUUUAAACAAGCUCCUCAUUAAAAAGCAUCAGCAUUACAUUUUUAAAACUUUGAAAACAAACUCUAUCACAGAUUCUUUUGCGUAGCACUCCCACACUUCCUUUGGUUUUACACUGUUUUGAAAGAAGUGGGAGUAGCAUAAGGCCAAGGCCCCAUUUCUAAGUUCUGAGCAAGAGGAUUAUCAAGGACAGAUUGUGUUAUUUUCCUAGAGAAGUCACUUUUCAGUCAUAAGACAACUGCUCACCAAUUGGUGGCAGGCUUCUCACUUAGGGAAGCAAUGUCUGGCUUUCAAUUAUACAAGCCAAGGCAACAGAAUAAAUGUCAGAGAUGAUCAAUGGGAUACAA